ensembl:snRNA U6 U6 spliceosomal RNA
GUGCUCGCUUUGGCAGCACAUAUACUAAAAUCGGAAUGAUACAGAGAUUAGCAUGGCCCCUGUGCAAGUAUGACACACAAAUUUGUGAAGCGUUCCAUAAUUUU